UUCUACCAAUGGCUGUGAUUGGUCGCCCCAUGUUGGCGUCCUCUCAUUUCGACCAAUCAGGUUUAUCGUUGUAGGGUGCAAUGCGCGGAGUGUGGGGGCGUGCAACAGUCGUCUUGAAGCUUCGUCCGUUUGGCACGUGUCUGCAACAGGUAUCGGCCGAUAGCAGAAUAUACCGAACAUUGCCGAGUGUUGUCGAAGUGCUGACCGGUCUACGAUGGGAAGGAAGGUCUCGCCAUUGCUCUCUCGAGCGUCGAAGUGAGAAGACGUGUCGAGAUCAGGCUCCCGUAUAAGCAAUACAAAAAUAUUUAUUUGAUUUCAAAAAGGCGCCAUGGGAUACGACGCCAUUGAUAUUGGUUCGAAAUAUAAUUUUGUAAAGGGUAUAUAAUAUAAUUGGUAACGUUUUAAUUUAUUAUAAUCAAUUAUUAACAUUUAUUAUUGCUUUUUUUGAGUCGUUGUUAAG